rnacentral:rRNA from 1 species
UGUAGCUUGCUACUGAUCUUAGCGGCGGACGGGUGAGUAAUGCUUAGGAAUCUCCCUAUUAGGGGGGGACAACAUUCCGAAAGGAAUGCUAAUACCGCAUACGCCCUACGGGGGAAAGCAGGGGAUCUUCGGACCUUGCGCUAAUAGAUGAGCCUAAGUCAAAUUAGCUAGUUGGGGGGGUAAAGGCCUACCAAGGCGACAAUCUGUAGCGGGUCUGAAAGGAUGAUCCGCCACACUGGGACUGAAACACGGCCCAAACUCCUACGGGAGGCAGCAGGGGGGAAUAUUGGACAAGGGGGGGAACCCUGAUCCAGCCAUGCCGCGUGUGUGAAGAAGGCCUUUUGGUUGUAAAGCACUUUAAGCGAGGAGGAGGAGCUUCAGGUUAAUACCCUGGAUGCUUGGACGUUACUCGCAAAAUAAGCACCGGCUAACUCUGUG